GGAGAGCGUCAGACUGAAGAUCUGAAGGUCCCUGGUUCAAUCCCGGGUCUAGGCA
rnacentral:tRNA from 1 species